AAUAUUGGACAAUGGGGGCAAGCCUGAACCAGCCAUGCCGCGUGUGUGAAGAAGGCCUUCGGAUUUUAAAGCCCUUUUAGCUGGGAGAAAGGGCUCGGGGUUAAUACCCUGAAGUUUUGACGUUACCAACAGAGCAAGCACCGGCUAAGUCGUUGCCAGCAGCCGAGGUAAUACAGAGGGUGCAGGCGUUAAUCGGAAUUACUGUGCGUAAAGCGGGCGUAGGUGGUUCAGUAAGAUGGGUGUGAAAUCCCCGGGCUUAACCUGGGAACUGCUUUCAUAACUGCUGAGCUAGAGUACGGUAGAGGGUAGUGGAAUUUCCUGUGUAGCGGUGAGAUGCGUAGAUAUAGGAAGGAACACCAGUGGCGAAGGCGACUACCUGGACUGAUACUGACACUGAGGUGCGAAAGAGUGGGGAGCAAACA
rnacentral:rRNA from 1 species